GACGUAGGGUGCGAGCGUUGUCCGGAUUUAUUGGGCGUAAAGAGCUCGUAGGCGGCUCGUCGCGUCAUCCGUGAAAACCCGCAGCUUAACUGCGGGCUUGCGGUUGAUACGGGCGGGCUAGAGUUCGGUAGGGGAGACGUGGAAUUCCUGGUGUAGCGGUGAAAUGCGCAGAUAUCAGGAGGAACACCGGUGGCGAAGGCGGGUCUCUGGGCCGGAUACUGACGCUGAGGAAGCGAAAGGCGUGGGGGAGCGAACAGGAUUCAGA
rnacentral:rRNA from 1 species